rnacentral:tRNA from 1 species
GCGAGUGUAGUACAAUGGCAGUACACCAGCUUCCCAAGCUGGCUACGGGGGUUCGAUUCCCCUCACUCGCUCCA